rnacentral:rRNA from 1 species
UACAGAGGGUGCAAGCGUUAAUCGGAAUUACUGGGCGUAAAGCGCGCGUAGGUGGUUCAGUAAGUUGAAUGUGAAAUCCCCGGGCUCAACCUGGGAACCGCAUCCAAAACUGCUGAGCUAGAGUAUGGUAGAGGGUGGUGGAAUUUCCUGUGUAGCGGUGAAAUGCGUAGAUAUAGGGAGGAACACCAGUGGCGAAGGCGACCACCUGGACUGAUACUGACACUGAGGUGCGAAAGCGUGGGGAGCAAACAGG